UGGGGAAUAUUGCACAAUGGGCGCAAGCCUGAUGCAGCCAUGCCGCGUGUGUGAAGAAGGCCUUCGGGUUGUAAAGCACUUUCAGCGAGGAGGAAGGUGGUGAACUUAAUACGUUCAUCAAUUGACGUUACUCGCAGAAGAAGCACCGGCUAACUCCGUGCCAGCAGCCGCGGUAAUACGGAAGGUGCAAGCGUUAAUCGGAAUUACUGGGCGUAAAAGCGCACGCAGGCGGUUUGUUAAGUCAGAUGUGAAAUCCCCGGGCUCAACCUGGGAACUGCAUUUGAAACUGGCAAGCUAGAGUCUCGUAGAGGGGGGUAGAAAUUCCAGGUGUAGCGGUGAAAAUGCGUAGAGAUCUGGAGGAAUACCGGUGGCGAAGGCGGCCCCCUGGACGAAGACUGACGCUCAGGUGCGAAAAGCGUGGGGAGCAAAACAGGAUUAGAUACCCUGGUAGUCCACGCUGUAAAACGAUGCCGAUUUUGGAGGUUGUGCCCUUGAGGCGUGGCUUCCGGAGCUAACGCGUU
rnacentral:rRNA from 1 species